GAGGGAGUAAAUGUUUACCUGAGAGACUGCUAACCUCUCAGACCCGCAGUUAAAGCCCGCGGCUCGCUCG
rnacentral:tRNA from 1 species